GUAGUCUCUUUUCUAAAGCAGAGCAAGACUGACCUUUGCUCUGGUUCUCAAGGAGUUCCUCGUAUCCAUCUGCAACCCCCUCAGCCUGGACUUCAUUGGCCAUAUUACUAUCAGCAUUUUGGUCACAACCAUUCAACAAGUUUCUAGGAAGUCCCAAACUUUCUCACAUCUUCCUGUCUUCUUUUGAGCCCUCCAAACUGUUCCACCCUCUGCCCAUUACCCAGAUCCAAAGUUGCUUCCAUAUUUUUACAUUUCUUUAUAGCAAUACCUCACUCUUGGUAUCAAUUUCCUGUAUUAUGAGGUUGUUGCAAUAGUAAUUGCAGUUUUUGCCAUACUUUUAAUUACUUUGCUGUUACUUUUAAUGACAAAAACUGCAAUUACUUUUGCAUCAACAUAAGAGUUUGAUUUCACACUGCUGUAAAGAACUCCCUGAGACUGGGUAAUUUAUAAACCAAAAAAAAAAAAAGAAAAAAGAGAAAAAACUUUAAUUGACUCACAGUUCUGCAGGUCUGGGAGGCCUCAGGAAACUUACAAUCAUGGCAGAAGUCACCUCUUCACAGGGUGACAGAAGAGAGAAGAAGAGAGCAAGAGAGAAACUACCAAACACUUACAAAACCAUCAGAUCUCAUGAGAACUCACUAUCAGGAGAAACAGCUUGGGGGAAACCAUCCCUAUGAUCUAAUCGCCGCCUAUCAGGUCCCUCCCUCAACAUCUGGGGAUUACAAUUCAAGAUGAGAUUUGAGUGGGAACACAAAGCCUAACUAUAUCAAACACCAUGUAGUUCAGUGGUCUACAGAAAUGUCAUAAACCACAAGUAUUCGGACUAGCAAUAGACAAAAUACAUAGUUUCUUUUAUAUGGUUGCAUCAACUGUAAAUCAUUCUUAAUAAGGAGUCAAAUAUAUUGGUUUUCUAAAAUGAAGCAAGGAAUUAAAAUAAAAUGUACAAAAGGAUGUUCUAUUUUCCUAAGUCAUAAAAUUAUAAAUCAGAUUUUUUAACUUAAACUUCAGAAAUGAGAUAGUAAAGUGAUUGGCCAUAGCAUACACUAGAGAAGAUUUGAUAGGAAGGGGAACAUUUGGAAAAGAGAAAAAUAAAUCAUACUUAACAGUAGUCAGUGAUGAUGGGAAAUAUUGCUGCAGAAAUUGCUCAUGAUGAAUAAUGGAUAAUGAUCCACAGGCCAUAUUGACAAAUCAUUGCUGAAAGCAAAGAAGAAAGAAAAAUUCAAUGUGUGGCAGUUAGUUUUACCUUAAAGCUUUAUAUACAUAUAAACAUUUAGAGAGAUCUCUGGAAUAUAAACAAUGGGGACAAAGGCAAAUAGCAUUUAAAACCCAAGAUGGAAGUCUCUACUAAAACUCAAGGUUUGAUGCAACCCUCAUAUCCCUAUUUCUCUGAAUAGUGACACCUUCCCAGAAUCAUCUUUGAUUACAAUGAAUGUGCUGAUUAUAUGUGUCUCAUUAUGUAAGGCAAUCUAUCACUGUGGUAGCUAAAGAAAUUACCUGUCAAAAUUUUCUGCCUGAAUUUUAGUGUUCAAAUUAUAUCCUCUAUAUAAUACUUGAAUUCCCAUUCAUCUAAGAUUAUUUUAAAAUAAAAGUGGUAGAUAUUUCCCCUAUU
rnacentral:lncRNA from 1 species